GUCCUUGUCGAUUAGUGGUUAAAUCAUCACGUUGUGGUGUUUCACUUCAAUCCGUGAAGCCGUGGGCUCGACUCCCACCAGGGACA